CGAAAUUCCUUGUCGGGUAAGUUCCGACCUGCACGAAUGGCAUAACGAUGGCCACACUGUCUCCUCCCGAGACUCAGUGAAGUUGAAAUGUUUGUGAUGAUGCAAUCUACCCGCGGCUAGACGGAAAGACCCCAUGAACCUUUACUGCAGCUUUGCAUUGAACUGUGAACCGAUUUGUGUAGGAUAGGUGGGAGGCAGAGAAGAGUCCACGCCAGUGGUCUUGGAGCCGACCUUGAAAUACCACCCUGAUUUGUUUGCGGUUCUAACCACGGACAGUGAUCCUGUCUUGGGACCGUGCAUGGUAGGCAGUUUGACUGGGGCGGUCUCCUCCUAAAGGGUAACGGAGGAGUACGAAGGUACGCUAGGUACGGUCGGAAAUCGUGCUGAUAGUGCAAUGGCAAAAGCGUGCUUGACUGCGAGAGCAACAACUCGAGCAGAUGCGAAAGCAGGUCAUAGUGAUCCGGUGGCUCUGAAUGGAAGGGCCAUCGCUCAACGGAUAAAAGGUACUCUGGGGAUAACAGGCUGAUACCGCCCAAGAGUUCAUAUCGACGGCGGUGUUUGGCACCUCGAUGUCGGCUCAUCUCAUCCUGGGGCUGUAGUCGGUCCCAAGGGUAUGGCUGUUCGCCAUUUAAAGAGGUACGUGAGCUGGGUUUAAAACGUCGUGAGACAGUUUGGUCCCUAUCUGCCGUGGGCGUUGGAAGAUUGACGGGGGCUGCUCCUAGUACGAGAGGACCGGAGUGGACGCACCUCUGGUGUACCGGUUGUCACGCCAGUGGCAUUGCCGGGUAGCUAAGUGCGGAAGAGAUAACCGCUGAAAGCAUCUAAGCGGGAAACUUGCCUGAAGAUGAGUCUUCCCGGAGGUAAAACCUCCCUCAAGAGUCGUCCGAGACCAGGACGUCGAUAGGUCAGGUGUGUAAGCGCUGUGAGGCGUUGAGCUAACUGAUACUAAUUGCUCGUGAGGCUUGAUCCU
rnacentral:rRNA from 1 species